rnacentral:rRNA from 1 species
UACGUAGGGUCCGAGCGUUGUCCGGAAUUACUGGGCGUAAAGGGCUCGUAGGUGGUUUGUCGCGUUGUUCGUGAAAACUCACAGCUCAACUGUGGGCGUGCGGGCGAUACGGGCAGACUGGAGUACUGCAGGGGAGACUGGAAUUCCUGGUGUAGCGGUGGAAUGCGCAGAUAUCAGGAGGAACACCGGUGGCGAAGGCGGGUCUCUGGGCAGUAACUGACGCUGAGGAGCGAAAGCGUGGGGAGCGAACAGG